UAGGGAAUAUUGGUAAUGUGCGAAAGCCCGACGCAGCGACGCCGCGUGAGGGAAGAAGGCCUUCGGGUCGUAAACCUCUGUCUCGAGGGAAGAAACCAUUGAGGUCGAACAGGCCUCUUUGCUGACGGUACCUCUGAAGGAAGCACCGGCUAACUCCGUGCCAGCAGCCGCGGUAAUACGGAGGGUGCGAGCGUUAAUCGGAAUCACUGGGCGUAAAGCGCACGUAGACGGUGUCGUAAGUCGGAUGUGAACGCCCUCGGCUCAACCGGGGAACUGCAUUCGAUACUGCGAUGCUUGAGUGCCGGAGAGGGUGGCGGAAUUCCAGGUGUAGGAGUGAAGUCCGUAGAUAUCUGGAGGAGCACCAGUGGCGAAGGCGGCCACCUGGCCGGCAACUGACGCUGAGGUGCGAAAGCGUGGGGAUCAAACA
rnacentral:rRNA from 1 species